AGUGAACGCUGGCGGUAGGCCUAACACAUGCAAGUCGAACGGCAGCACAGUAAGAGCUUGCUCUUACGGGUGGCGAGUGGCGGACGGGUGAGGAAUACAUCGGAAUCUACUUUUUCGUGGGGGAUAACGUAGGGAAACUUACGCUAAUACCGCAUACGACCUACGGGUGAAAGCAGGGGAUCUUCGGACCUUGCGCGAUUGAAUGAGCCGAUGUCGGAUUAGCCAGUUGGCGGGGUAAAGGCCCACCAAGGCGACGAUCCGUAGCUGGUCUGAGAGGAUGAUCAGCCACGCUGGAACUGAGACACGGUCCAGACUCCUACGGGAGGCAGCAGUGGGGAAUAUUGGACAAUGGGCGCAAGCCUGAUCCAGCCAUACCGCGUGGGUGAAGAAGGCCUUCGGGUUGUAAAGCCCUUUUGUUGGGAAAGAAAAGCAGCAGGUUAAUACCCCGCUGUUCUGACGGUACCCAAAGAAUAAGCACCGGCUAACUUCGUG
rnacentral:rRNA from 1 species